rnacentral:tRNA from 1 species
AUUGUCGUAGCUUAAAAAAAGCACAAGAUUCUUACUCUUGGGAUGUUCGUAGAACUGGCAGUG